UCCCUGGUGGCUCAGAUGGUAAAGCGCCUGCCUACCGUGCGGGAGACCCAGGUUCGAUCCCUGGGUUGGGAA
rnacentral:tRNA from 1 species